rnacentral:rRNA from 1 species
GAAGUUAAAGGCUGUGGCUUAACCAUAGUACGCUUUNGAAACUGUUUAACUUGAGUGCAGAAGGGGAGAGUGGAAUUCCAUGUGUAGCGGUGAAAUGCGUAGAUAUAUGGAGGAACACCGGUGGCGAAAGCGGCUCUCUGGUCUGUAACUGACGCUGAGGCUCGAAAGCGUGGGGAGCGAACAGGAUUAGAUACCCUGGUAGUCCACGCCGUAAACGAUGAGUGCUAGGUGUUAGGCCCUUUCCGGGGCUUAGUGCCGCAGCUAACGCAUUAAGCACUCCGCCUGGGGAGUACGACCGCAAGGUUGAAGCUCAAAGGAAUUGACGGGGGCCCGCACAAGCGGUGGAGCAUGUGGUUUAAUUCGAAGCAACGCGAAGAACCUUACCAGGUCUUGACAUCCCGAUGCCCGCUCUAGAGAUAGAGUUUUACUUCGGUACAUCGGUGACAGGUGGUGCAUGGUUGUCGUCAGCUCGUGUCGUGAGAUGUUGGGUUAAGUCCCGCAACGAGCGCAACCCUUAUUGUUAGUUGCCAUCAUUGAGUUGGGCACUCUAGCGAGACUGCCGGUAAUAAACCGGAGGAAGGUGGGGAUGACGUCAAAUCAUCAUGCCCCUUAUGACCUGGGCUACACGCGUGCUACAAUGGCUGGUACAACGAGUCGCAAGCCGGUGACGGCAAGCUAAUCUCUGAAAGCCAGUCUCAGUUCGGAUUGUAGGCUGCAACUCGCCUACAUGAAGUCGGAAUCGCUAGUAAUCGCGGAUCAGCACGCCGCGGUGAAUACGUUCCCGGGCCUUGUACACACCGCCCGUCACACCACGAGAGUUUGUAACACCCGAAGUCGGUGAGGUAACCGUAAGGAGCCAGCCGCC